ensembl:lncRNA
CAGAAAGAUUAAAAAGUUGAUUGGAAUAACAAUUUUUAAAGCUCUAGACUUGGUCCCUUAUAUUCACCUUAUUAUUCACCUUAUAUUCACCAAUGACUCCAGCAAGCUGACAGGUAGUAAGUGUGUGAAGUGCAAGUGCAGAGGAGCACUCCAGGUAAAUCUAUGAUCCAUCAUCCCAAGGCUUUCCUUACCUGACCUUGCAUUUUUGUAAGCUCACUGCCAUGUGGAUAACUACAGACACCAACAUAUGCUGGAACAAGAGCUCUAGAGUGAAGAAGAAUUGUGUGUACUGUGCCAGGGAGAUUACGACAACACCACAGGCAUGAAAAUAUAAAAGCCACCGUGACUUGAAAAAUAUUUCAAUGAGGAGUUACCAAGACCGGAAUUUCUUGUAAAAACAGUCAAUUUCUACAAAUGGACAUUUCCAAGAAUAAAUACUUUGUUGAAGUAUUCUUGACCAGCUUUACUAAGAUUCUGAGAUGCUAUACUGGUAACUCCUUCUCAUCUCUGCUACAAGUAAGGUUGGACCUCACUUUCUUCACAUAAAAAAAAGGGCAAUUGAACAAGAGUAUGAUGAGAUGUAUUAAACCAUGUAUUAUCUGAAUAUAGCAUGUAGGGUAAAUUCAUCAUUAUAUCUCAGAAAGCCAGAACUAGAAAGCAACCAAUGGCAGACCAAGGUUUGCACGAAGAGAAACUGCAUCUUUGAUCAAAACAACAUGAAUAGUUGGUAAAAUUGUCAUGUUUAUAUCUAUGGUCUAUCUAUUAUAAAGAUAAUGUACAACUACAUAUAACAGUGAAAUUAGCUGGCAACUAAUUAAAAACAAGCAAGCAAAAAAACCCUUGAAAAUAAAAG